AUUGAUAUCGUGAGAUUGGAGAAAGAAAUCGAAUUUUGAUUUUUUUUCAAUGGACUACUACAAUACUCUAGUAAAACAAAACAUCUUUUUUUUCCUUUUAUACUUCCAUUCACUCUUGCUAUGCGUUUUAAAUGCAUGGGAAAGCAGAAAAAAUUCUGAUAAAAAUAAGUCAUUUUUUCCAAAUACAAAAUGAUUUUUUGGAUUAUUACAGAAAGAAUUUUAUUAAAUAAAAAAUCGGAGGAAAAAGUGGAAACAUACAAGAAGGAAAAUGUACAUGGCCCAUUGUGGUUGCAUUAUAGCGAGCUAUAACCGAACAAAAGAAAAUUUUAAAAGAAUGUUAUAGAAUAGCUGAUGAAGAAAAAAUAUAACGUGUAAAACAAAUUUAUGAAGAGAUUGGUAUAUCAAAUAUCUAUUUGGAUUACGAAGAAGAAACGCAUAAUUUAUUGAAUACGUAUAUACAGCAAUUAUCUUCGAAACUUCCGACUAAAUAUUUUUUAUACUUACUCACUACAUUAUGUAGUAAAAUAGGAUAAAGAGAUUAGUUGUACAAUAUAUGAAAAAUAUGGGAACACAUCCGAUUACCAGAGAUUCCUAAGAUAAUUUCCUAUGCAAAAAUUUUUGUUGCAAUGAACGAAUUAUUAACGAAAAAUUAUUUACCAAUCAAAUACAUGACCUAGACAUAGAGAUAGUGGCUACUGUAUACAAACAAAUUCGAAGUAGUAAUCAAAGAAACUGUGUUACAAAUAUUUUUUAAUAGAUGAAAAAUAUAUAUUUGGAAUAAAAA